rnacentral:rRNA from 1 species
AUUGAACGCUGGCGGCAUGCUUUACACAUGCAAGUCGAACGGUAACAGGCCGCAAGGUGCUGACGAGUGGCGAACGGGUGAGUAAUGCAUCGGAACGUGCCCAGUCGUGGGGGAUAACGCAGCGAAAGCUGUGCUAAUACCGCAUACGAUCUAUGGAUGAAAGCGGGGGACCGUAAGGCCUCGCGCGAUUGGAGCGGCCGAUGUCAGAUUAGGUAGUUGGUGGGGUAAAGGCCUACCAAGCCAACGAUCUGUAGCGGGUCUGAGAGGACGACCAGCCACACUGGGACUGAUACACGGCCCAGACUCCUACGGGAGGCAGCAGUGGGGAAUUUUGGACAAUGUGCGCAAGCCUGAUCCAGCAAUGCCGCGUGCAGGAAGAAGGCCUUCGGGUUGUAAACUGCUUUUGUACGGAACGAAACGGUCUGGGUUAAUACCCUGGACUAAUGACGGUACCGUAAGAAUAAGCACCGGCUAACUACGUGCCAGCCGCCGCCGUAACAC